AAACGUAGGUGGCGAGCGUUGUCCGGAAUUACUGGGUGUAAAGGGCGCGUAGGCGGGGGAGCAAGUCAGGUGUGAAAUACCACGGCUCAACCGUGGGGGUGCAUCUGAAACUGUUCUUCUUGAGUGCUGGAGAGGAAAGCGGAAUUCCUAGUGUAGCGGUGAAAUGCGUAGAGAUUAGGAGGAACACCAGUGGCGAAGGCGGCUUUCUGGACAGUAACUGACGCUGAGGCGCGAAAGCGUGGGGAGCAAACAGGAUUAGAUACCCUGGUAGUCCACGCCGUAAACGAUGGAUACUAGGUGUAGGAGGUAUCGACCCCUUCGGUGCCGGAGUUAACACAAUAAGUAUCCCACCUGGGGAGUACGGCCGCAAGGUUGAA
rnacentral:rRNA from 1 species